GAUGAACGCUGGCGGCGUGCCUAAUACAUGCAAGUCGAGCGAACAGACGAGGAGCUUGCUCCUCUGACGUUAGCGGCGGACGGGUGAGUAACACGUGGAUAACCGACCUAUAAGACUGGGAUAACUUCGGGAAACCGGAGCUAAUACCGGAUAAUAUAUUGAACCGCAUGGUUCAAUAGUGAAAGACGGUUUUGCUGUCACUUAUAGAUGGAUCCGCGCCGCAUUAGCUAGUUGGUAAGGUAACGGCUUACCAAGGCAACGAUGCGUAGCCGACCUGAGAGGGUGAUCGGCCACACUGGAACUGAGACACGGUCCAGACUCCUACGGGAGGCAGCAGUAGGGAAUAUUCCGCAAUGGGCGAAAGCUUGACGGAGCAACGCCGCGUGAGUGAUGAAGGUCUUCGGAUCGUAAAACUCUGUUAUUAGGGACGAACAAAUGUGUAAGUAACUAUGCACGUCUUGACGGUACCUAAUCAGAAAGCCACGGCUAACUACGUG
rnacentral:rRNA from 1 species